UGCUAUACAUGCAGUCGAGCGAACAGACGAGGAGCUUGCUCCUCUGACGUUAGCGGCGGACGGGUGAGUAACACGUGGAUAACCUACCUAUAAGACUGGGAUAACUUCGGGAAACCGGAGCUAAUACCGGAUAAUAUAUUGAACCGCAUGGUUCAAUAGUGAAAGACGGUUUUGCUGUCACUUAUAGAUGGAUCCGCGCCGCAUUAGCUAGUUGGUAAGGUAACGGCUUACCAAGGCAACGAUGCGUAGCCGACCUGAGAGGGUGAUCGGCCACACUGGAACUGAGACACGGUCCAGACUCCUACGGGAGGCAGCAGUAGGGAAUCUUCCGCAAUGGGCGAAAGCCUGACGGAGCAACGCCGCGUGAGUGAUGAAGGUCUUCGGAUCGUAAAACUCUGUUAUUAGGGAAGAACAAAUGUGUAAGUAACUAUGCACGUCUUGACGGUACCUAAUCAGAAAGCCACGGCUAACUACGUGCCAGCA
rnacentral:rRNA from 1 species